rnacentral:rRNA from 1 species
AUGGCUCAAGUUCUUCGCAGCUUCCAUGAGCAUGAAGUCCUUGUGCUCAUCGUAUGCCCUCUUGUCCUCCUCCUCCUCAUCCUUCGGUUUGCCACGUCCACGACAACCACAAGGAGAGCAGACAAGCUGCUCCACAGACUCCCAUCGCCUCCCUACAAGCUCCCUCUCAUCGGCCACCUCCACCUUGUGGGCUCACUGCCCCACAUUUCCCUCCGCAGUCUCGCCGAGAAGCAUGGCCCCGAUGUCAUGCUUCUACGCCUUGGCGCCGUCCCCAGCCUCGUUGUGUCGUCCGCUCGUGCAGCCAUGGCAGUUCUUCGCACGCACGACCAUGCGUUUGCGUCCCGGGUACAGUCCGCCAUGACUGACAUCCUCUUCUAUGGAUCAACUGAUAUGGCCUUCUCCCCAUACGGGGAUCACUGGCGCCAGAUAAGAAAGAUCGUUGCAACACAUCUUCUCAGUUCCAAGAAAGUUGGCUCCCACCGUCUCGCCCGUGAAAAAGAGGUACAACACGCCAUGGCGAGGAUCCGCGAGGCAGCCACCAGGAGCGCUGAAGUGGACCUUAGUAAGCUGCUUAGCUCGUUCAUCACUGAUAUUGUUUGCCAUGCUGUGUCGGGCAAGUCCUUCAGAGGUGGCGGUCGAAACGAGUUAUUCCGUGAGCUGGUAGAGACUAGCUCGAUGCUCAUAGGUGGGUUCAACCUGGAGGAUUACUUCCCCAAGUUGGCAAGGCUGGACGUGGUAAGGAGGAUGGUGUGUGCUAGGGCGGAGAGAAUAAAAAAGAAAUGGGAUGACUUGCUUGAUGAGAUCAUCAACGACCAUGCCAAGAACACGAUGUUGGACCAUGAAAUCAAACAAGGCGGAGAGACAGAUUUCAUCGAUGUGUUGCUCUCCAUUCAACAAGAGUACAACCUCACGAGAGAAAACGUCAAGGCCGUGUUGGUGGACAUGUUCAUAGGUGGGACGGACACAUCAUUCAUAGUGCUGGAUUGUGCAAUGGCUGAGCUAAUCCAAAAUCCAGAGGUGUUGACCAAGCUCCAAGCUGAGGUGAGGAGCGUAGCAGAGGGGAAGGAAAUGGUUAAAGAAGAGGAUCUGAGUGGCAUGAUCUACCUGAAGGGUGUUAUCAAAGAGACGCUCCGGCUACACAGUCCUGUGCCGCUCUUCGUGCCUCACCUCUCGAUGGCCGACUGCGACAUAGAGGGAUACACCAUACCAUCUGGUACCCGUGUGAUCAUCAAUGGAUGGGCUCUAGCAAGGGACCCUGCCUACUGGGAGAGCGCAGAGAAGUUCAUGCCCGAGCGCUUCAUGGAAAAUGUUGGAAGCACCAUGAUUCCUGACUACAUGGGAAACAAUUUUCAUUAUUUGCCUUUUGGGACUGGACGAAGGGUGUGCCCAGGUAUGAACUUUGGAAUGGCCACUGUUGAGAUAAUGUUGGCAAACCUCAUGUUCCACUUCAACUGGGAUCUACCGGCAGGGACAGUAAAAAUCAAUAUGACAGAGUCCUUCGGCGUCACAGUGGGUCGCAAGGAAAAUCUUAUUCUUGUCCCAGCACUUGCGCAAAAACAAGUUUAA